UGCGUAGGCGGGUUUCUAAGUCAGAGGUGAAAGCCUGGAGCUCAACUCCAGAACUGCCUUUGAUACUGGAAGUCUUGAGUAUGGCAGAGGUGAGUGGAACUGCGAGUGUAGAGGUGAAAUUCGUAGAUAUUCGCAAGAACACCAGUGGCGAAGGCGGCUCACUGGGCCAUUACUGACGCUGAGGACACCGAAAGGGACUGGGAGCAAACA
rnacentral:rRNA from 1 species